UACGUAGGGGGCAAGCGUUGUCCGGAUUUAUUGGGCGUAAAGAGCGUGUAGGCGGCCAGGGAGGUCCGUUGUGAAAACUCGAGGCUCAACCUCGAGACGCCGAUGGAAACCCCCUGGCUAGAGUCCGGAAGAGGAGAAUGGAAUUCCUGGUGUAGCGGUGAAAUGCGCAGAUAUCAGGAAGAACACCCGUGGCUAAGGCGGUUCUCUAGUACGGUACUGACGCUGAGGCGCGAAAGCGUGGGGAGCAAACAGG
rnacentral:rRNA from 1 species